GACCAUACGGAGCCUUGCCGCCAGACGCUC
rnacentral:sRNA from 1 species